rnacentral:rRNA from 1 species
GAUGAACGCUGGCGGCGUGCCUAAUACAUGCAAGUAGAACGCUGAAGCUUGGUGCUUGCACCGAGCGGAUGAGUUGCGAACGGGUGAGUAACGCGUAGGUAACCUGCCUCUUAGCGGGGGAUAACUAUUGGAAACGAUAGCUAAUACCGCAUAAAAGUCGAUAUCGCAUGAUGUUGACUUGAAAGGUGCAAUUGCAUCACUAAGAGAUGGACCUGCGUUGUAUUAGCUAGUUGGUGAGGUAACGGCUCACCAAGGCGACGAUACAUAGCCGACCUGAGAGGGUGAUCGGCCACACUGGGACUGAGACACGGCCCAGACUCCUACGGGAGGCAGCAGUAGGGAAUCUUCGGCAAUGGGGGCAACCCCGACCGAGCAACGCCGCGUGAGUGAAGAAGGUUUUCGGAUCGUAAAGCUCUGUUGUAAGAGAAGAACGAGUGUGAGAGUGGAAAGUUCACACUGUGACGGUAACUUACCAGAAAGGGACGGCUAACUACGUGCCAGCAGCCGCGGUAAUACGUAGGUCCCGAGCGUUAUCCGGAUUUAUUGGGCGUAAAGCGAGCGCAGGCGGUUAGAUAAGUCUGAAGUUAAAGGCUGUGGCUUAACCAUAGUACGCUUUGGAAACUGUUUAACUUGAGUGCAGAAGGGGAGAGUGGAAUUCCAUGUGUAGCGGUGAAAUGCGUAGAUAUAUGGAGGAACACCGGUGGCGAAAGCGGCUCUCUGGUCUGUAACUGACGCUGAGGCUCGAAAGCGUGGGGAGCAAACAGG